UUUUACAUGAUUUUACAAGUCACGGUUUGGUGAAUCCUUCAGCAACAAUUCAGCAGCCAAACCUAAUCCUGGUAGUCAAAGUUCAUCUCCUUCAGCCAGUCCUUCAUCUGCAUCCAGACCUGCUGUUUCUUCCAGUUCUGCUCCUUUAACCAUUUCUUCCUGGUGUUUUGAGUCACUCAGAGACUUGAUAUUAUUUUACCAUUUAUUUUGUGGAUUUACUACUAUUAUAAUCUAUAGUUAUUUAUCAUUAGGUUGUUGUUUCAGACCCAAUUAGGAUCAUUUUUUAAAUCUUUGUACUUGAUUAUAUCUAUUGUUAAUUAACCUUUAUUAAUAUAUACAUUGAUUUGUAAUAUUGUAGCAUUUUCAGUAAUUAAAAAUAAAAUGUUUUAUUGUUUAUAGAA